UUGACCUCGGAUCAGGUAGGAAUACCCGCUGAACUUAAGCAUAUCAAUAGGCGGAGAGAGAAA
rnacentral:rRNA from 1 species